rnacentral:rRNA from 1 species
UACGUAGGGUGCGAGCGUUAAUCGGAAUUACUGGGCGUAAAGCGUGCGCAGGCGGUUCGUUAAGUUUGCGGUGAAAGCCCCGGGCUCAACCUGGGAAUGGCCGUGGAAACUGGCGGGCUGGAGUGUGGCAGAGGGGGGUGGAAUUCCGCGUGUAGCAGUGAAAUGCGUAGAGAUGCGGAGGAACACCGAUGGCGAAGGCAGCCCCCUGGGCCAACACUGACGCUCAGGCACGAAAGCGUGGGGAGCAAACAGG